GAAGAAAACCAUUUCCUUCUAAAUUUUUUCCCAGUUUCAGUCAGCUGCAGUUGGUAGUGCUUGAGAGGGAUUUUUAGGGAUUUUGACGAAUUUAAGAAUGAGGUUAAGUUGGCUUGAGAUUAGGCAGCAAAAUCAAAUGUGUUUCUGAUGGAGAUAUGUUUUAAAUCUAUUAUUCUGGUCGGGAUCGCAAAAGAGACUCAAGGGUUUGAGAGAUCAAAGAAGGAAUUUGGGAUCAGAUUUGGGUUUUGUAGCGAAGUUGGAGCUGUUACUGCCAUGGGUGUUACUACCGAGGAAGAGAUUGUUUGAUAGGGGUUUGAAGCAAGAAACUGAUGUGAAUAAAUUAAGUUUAAGAGGGUUUCCUGUUGAUUCUCAGUGAAUGAAUAAUGGAAGAAUUUGAUUGAUAGUAUGAAGAUUCUCCACUUAAAAGGCUACUGAUUUUUGGUUUGACAGUUUUCUCCAAACCAGUAUAUAAUGGUAGCGGAACUCUUGAGGAAGGUGAAACAGCUGAAACUCGAUACAAAAAGAUACAAGUUUCUUAUGAGUUGCUCAUAGAUGAGGAGAGGCCCACACAAUAUGACAGGGAACACCGUGUUAAUCCUAUGAAGGCUACACAAGCAUGGAUUGGCUCGUAAAUAAACGAACAGAGAUUUUGAUCAGAAAGGUGAUAUGGCUGUCACACCUUGGGCCGAACAGCAACAACAUGAGCUGAAUGUUUGUGUACGGCGUCUAUCUCGUACCAAGGUAAAAACUAAAAAGCUUUCCAGUAUGUGUUAAAUGGGACAUGGGUUAGCUCAUCCCCUGUAUAUAUGCACGUUCAUACCGUCAUACUAGUCUAGAAUAAAAGAAUGCAUUUGUAUCCUGAGAAACUUUUUUCUUCCAGCAUAAUUUUGAACUUUUACUCCUAUCAAGAAGUAGGUUUCACUCUCCCUUUUCACACUAGAUUUAGUUUGCUCAAGGAUUAGAACUUCUAUCACAUCUCUUUUCUUUUUGUGCUAUCAUUAGUUUACUUUCGUGUCCCUGUAUGGUUUUGUUGCAUAAUGGAAGUCUUAAUCGUAGCAGGUGUUGGAAUGAGUUGGUUAUCCUUCCA